rnacentral:lncRNA from 1 species
GCUGGUCUUCUCACAUCUGAUGUUGAAGAGCUUACCCUGACCGCUUUUUUCCUACAAGAUUCAGCCCUACAUCACAUCUUGUGGUUCAAGGCUGUCCAGUAGUAAAGACAUCCCGUGUGCCACAGACAGCCCACUCCAUCUUUUCCCCUUGGCUCUCACCUCUGCAAUAUGCCCCUCCUUAGACCCAAGACCAGCACAAGAAGCAAUGCCCUCAUUUUGCCUUUGGAUUUAUUCCAGUGUGACUGAAUCUCCACUUUAUGGUGUAGUGAUUCUGGAGUCAGGCCCAGGUUCAAAUCACAUUCCUUUACAUAUUAACUGUGCUACUUUGGGCAAGUUGCCCACUCCCAUUUCUUCAUCUGAAAAAUAAGGAUAAUAAUCAUUCCUACUUCAUAAGGUUAUUGUAAGGACUAAUAAUUUCAUGCCCAAUAAGUAGUUUUGAGCAGUGCCUGGCACAAAAUGAGUACUCCAUACAUAUUAUCUGUCAUUAGGGGUUCUCUCAAGGUACUAUUUAAGAUUUUUUUUUUAAAGAAAUCAAGAGAUAUCUGCUGUGAAAUAAAAAUCACGUACAUUGGGCUGGGCGCAGUGGCUCAUGCCUGUAAUCCCAGCCCUUUGGGGGGCCGAGGCAGGCGGAUUACCUGAGGUUGGGAGUUCGAGACCAGACUGAUCAACAUGGAGAAACCCCGUCUCCACUAAAAAUACAAAAUUACCCAGGCAUGGUGGCGCAUUCCUGUAAUCCCAGCUACUUGGGAGGCUGAGGCAGGAGAAUCGCUUGAACCAGGAGGCGGAGGUUGCGGUGAGCUGAGAUCGUGCCAUUGCACUCCAGCCUGGGCAAUGAGUGAAACUCCAUCUCAAAAAAAAAAAAAAAAAAAAGAAUGAUGUAUAUUGGUCUCCACCCCAAGUUCCUGGCACAGAGCUUCGAAAACCCUUGUGAUUUCCUGAGCAAUAGGGGUUCUAGGAGAAACUUUUGUUGGAAUUAUUGGGUCUCUGCCCCAGGUACCUGAGACAGAGCUCUUAAACCUUUGAUUUCCUGAGUAAUAGGAACACCUGACUUAGAGUUCCUGAAUCCCUUGGAAUUUUUCUGAGGAACAUCUUUUUUUCUAAUAAGGGGACUCUUGGUGAGCUCCUGGACAGGGGCUGCUCACUGGAAAGACUAAGCAAUGAUUAGAAGCUUGGAGCUUUCAGCCCCAUCCUCCAUUCUUUAGAGAUGGGGAAGGGCUAGAGACUGAAUUAAUCUUCCAUCAUGCCUACCUGAUGAAGCCGAAGUACUGAACUAUGGGGUUCAGAGAGCUUCCGGAUAGCAGAACACGUCCAUGUGCUGGGAGGGUGGUGCACCCCAACUCCAUGGGGACAGAAGCUCCUGCACUCAGGACCCUUCCACACCUGAUCUCUUCAUCUGGCUGUUCAUCUACAUCUUUUUUUUUUUUUGAGACAGGAUCUCACUCUGUCACCUAGGCUGGAGUGCAGUGGCAUAAUCACGGCUCACUGCAGCCUCGACGUCCUGGGCUCAAACAGAUCCUCCCACCUCCUGAGUAGCUGAGGCAGGAGAAUGGUGUGACCCAGGAGGCGGAGCUUGCAGUGAGCCGAGAUCGCGCCGUUGCACUCCAGCCUGGGCAACAGAACGAGACUCCGAUUCAAAAAAAAAAAAAGAAAGAAAGUACCAACUAUUUUUCCUGUCUCACACAUCUGCUAAAAAGGUUUUCUCUCUUCGCAUGAGCUCAUGGGCUUUCUGAGCAUUUCUGUACCCAGAUCGCAGCUUAAUGCCAUAUAUGCCACAGAAACACACCCCUGACCAGCACACAGACAGCUACUUAGCUGUUUAAUGGUUUCACCUAGACUCACAAUUUCAAGGUCUCACUUUCACUCACAGCAGCCCAAUCAAAGGGUUAGAAUUGGUAAACAAACAGGCUCGGAGCGGUAUAACAGAAAAAUAAUUUCUUUUGGCUUUUCUUGCUCUUGGUCAAUGAAACUUUGAUCAGAGAGAACAUCUGAGGCUAUACUUGUUUCAAGUUGUGUUUGUUUGAAAAAAAAAAAAAAGUUAGCCAGGCACAGUGGCUCAUGCCUGUAGUCCCAGCACUUUGGGAGGCCAAGGUGGGAGGAUUGCUUGAGUCCAGGAGUUCCAGACCAGCCUGGGCAACAUAGCAAGACCUUGUCUCUACAAAAAAAAAAAAAAAAACAGUGAGGGGAAGUGUGAUUUAUUUGUUUUUUUUUUUUAUUUUAAAUCUUUUUUUUUUUUUUUUUUGAGACAGAGUCUUGCUCUGUAGCCCACGUUGGAGUGCAGUGGCAUGAUCUUGGCUCACUGCAACCUCCACCUCCCGGGUUCAAGCGAUUUUCCUGUCUCAGCCUCCCGAGUAGCUGUGACUACAGGCACAUGACACCACGCCCAGCUAAAUUUUGUGUUUUUAGCAGAGAUGCAGUUUCACCAUAUUGGUCAGGCUGGUCUUGAACUCCUGACCUCAGGUGAUCCAUCCGCCUCGGCCUCCCAAAGUGCUGGGAUUACAGGCGUGAGCCACUGCGCCCAGUCAAUUCUACCCUUAAUAAGUAAUAUAUUCACAGGGCUUACAACACUUAAAAACACAAAAGGGUACACAAUGAAGUUUCCCUCCCUCCCGUGACCCUAGCCACCCAGUUCUCUUCUCAGAAGCAACCAAUAUUACCAAUUUGGUACUGGAUACUGGAUAUUCCUAUAGAUAUUCUGUACAAAUAUAAGCAAAUACACGUUUUUAUCUUUUAGUACAGAUUUCCACUUGCUCUUUAAAUUUAAUUGUAUUACAUAUAUAAUAUAGGUUUAUUACAUAUUUAAUAUAGGUUUAAUUUGAAAGUAAAGGCAAAAACUGCAAUUACUUUUGCACCAACUAAUACAUACAAAAGAAUAUUUAUAUCAUGUUUAAGAUUUUUUUUUUAAUUUUGGCUGGGUGCAGUGGCUUAUGCCUGUAAUCCUAGCACUUUGGGAGGCCGAGGCAGGCGGAUCACUUGAAGUCAGGAGUUUCAGACCAGCCUCGUCAACAUGGGGAAACCCCGUCUCUACUAAAAAUACAAAAAUUAGCUGGGCAUGGUGGUUCACAGUUGUAAUCCCAGCUACUUGGUAGGCUGAGGCAGGAGAAUUGCUUGAACCAGGGAGGCAGAGGUUGCGGUGAGCCGAGAUUGUGCCACUGUACUCCAGCCUAGGUGACAGAGGGAGACUCUGUCUCAAAAAUAUAUAUAUCUAUAUGUAUAGAUAGAUUUUUUAAAAAAUUUUAAGCCAUCACUCAGCUUAAGAAACAUAAACAUUUCAUCAGCCCCCAGUUGAUAAGCCUACAGAUGGUUUCCAACUUCCUGUUGUUAUGCCCACAGCUACAAUGAGUUUCCUCGUGUAUCCACCAUUUUAUAUGCGUGCAGUAUAUAUCUGUAAGAUAAAUUCCUAGAUGACGAAUUCCUAAGUCAAAGGGGAUGGUCACAGGUCAUUUCUAUAGAUAAAUAUCUGGAUUGUCCUCCACAGAAAUUGAAAAAAAUUGAUUCGUUUGUUUCUGAAAGUUUCCAAGAUGCCUAGAAGUCUAACAGGUGUAAAAAUCAUUUAAGUGACAGAAGACAGGAAAGCAAAAGGAUCUCAUUUAAGUGACAGUUCUUGUUAAAAAUAUAUAAAGCAUAACUAUCUCUUGUUUCCCCUGAGGCAAUCAUGUAAAACAACUCCUGACGGUGCCUUCGAUACUUGGGGAAGUGCCCAAACAUAUACUUUAUUCUGGUGUAAUUCCUGUAAGGAUUAAUAUUGCUCAGAACUGACAGGAAUUAUUAGUUCCCGCAAUGAGGUAAUUACAGAAUCAAGUUCAGCCACACUUUUUUGACUUUGUUUACUUUAAAAUGCCUGCUGCCUUAGAUAUUUAAGAUGUGCAUCUUGGGUUCCAAGUUUCGAAACAAAAAUCCCUGCAGAGGCGGAGGCUGCAGUGAGCCAAGAUCGUGCACACCAGCCUGAGCGACAGAGCAAGACUCUGUCUCAAAAUAACAACAACAACAAAAAUCCUUGCAAUAUAUAAGUUCUCUCAAUAUUCAAAAGCAUAAGGAACAAGCUGGAUGAUCAUUAACAAAGGGUUUAUCCAGAAAUACAACAACCGUCAGAUUAUAGGAACCUCUGCAAUGCAAUGUCAUGACCACUGGGGUUUGGCAUUGGAGAUGCAAGAACCUAAAUAUCACCCUUUUUGGGGAGGGCCACUAACUUGAGCCCUGUCAUAAGGAUCAGACCUAAAAAGAUGCUCUUAAAAUCCAGAGAUUGGAGAAAGUCAAUAUUCCCCCACCUGACCAGAUGCCUAAAUCAAGAGUAUUAGCACAUUUUACAACCAAACAUGAAUGGGCUGAGAUACAGUUCCUGACCUCUCUUGCCACUUUCUGUAAUUAGCCACACCAGCCACCACUUUGGAAAGGUGCUAAAGUUUACCCACUUACUAAAAACAGCCUAAUUACACUUAAAAUUAGCAAUAUACCUAAAUCCAUAUUUCAUGAUACAUGGUCCCAGAACACCUGCAGUAGACUUCCGGGUGGGGAAGUGGGAGUGAGUCUGGCUAUUAAAAUGCUGAUUUCGGCUGGGCGCGGUGGCUCAUGCCUGUAAUCUCAGCACUUUAGGAGGCCAAGGAGGGUGGAUUGCCUGAGCUCAGGGGUUCCAGACCAGCCUGGGCAACAUGGUGAAACGCUGUUUCUACUAAAAUUACAAAAAUUAGCCAGGCGUGGUGGCACACGCCUGUAGUCUCAGCUACUCAGGAAGCUGAGGCAGAGAAUCGCUUGAACCCAGGAGGCGACGGUUGUAAUGAGCCAAGAUUGCACCACUGCACUCCAGCCAGGCGAGAGUGGGAGACUCCGUCUCAAAAAAAAAAAAAAAAAAAAAAAUUUCUGGGCAUGGGGUUUGAGGAUAUUGGUAACACAAGUGGUUGCUCACUACAGGUCCUCGCUGGAAACAGCACUAAAGAACCAGGAUGUGGACUGACUCCUCUGUGCAAGUCACCGACAGUGCCCAUGUUUAUACUGUAGGCCCACGAACCAAGCAGCCAUGGCGGCAGGGACGGAGGUGUGCAUGGACUCAAUCACCAUCUUUCCCUCACCAGAGCUGACUCAGCUGCCUUCUCUGCUGAAGCCCUAAGUGGAGACCAAGGCUGAGCUAUGGCAUCUUAAUUAUGAGGCAUCCCUUCCAAAAGGGAAGACAGAGCUUUGCGUGUGGCAGUAUCAUAGCCAAUGAGGUUUAUCCGAGGCGUGAUUAUUGCUAAUUGAAAACAAAAUGGAAGACAGGUGACUUUUCCCCUCCCUUGAAUAAACACUUCUUCCACACAUGGAUUUCCUUUUCCUAAUCACCAUGCUUCUGCCAGCAACUUACCAACUCAAUGAAUGCCUCAUCCACUGCCACAACGCCAGACACCCACAUUGCUUCUGAUCACAAAUCCAUUCACAGCAAAAGAAAUGGGUCCAUAUGCUGGUACCCCCCAGAUGCUCUGAUCUUACCGUGGUCCCCAGGGGUAGGUGAUCUUCUUGAUGGUAGAAUGAAUGGCCCAUUGGAGACUGAGCUACAGUAUCCGCUGGCAGACACCACCUGGUGACACUGGGGUUCUGUCCCAUAAGAUGUAGUAGAUGCUCUGAACCAGUGACAGUACUGCCAGAGUUCACAGGUCUGGGCACCAAGGCUAGAAGUGAGUGCAUCUCCGACUGCUACACCUGAGGUCAGGCGUUUGAGACCAGCCCGACCAACAUGGAGAAACCCCGUCUUUACUAAAAAUACAAAAAAAUUAGCCAGGCAUAGUGGCGCAUGCCUGUAAUCCCAGCUACUCGGGAGGCUGGGGCAGGAGAAUUGCUUGAACCUGGGAGGUGGAGUUGUGGUGAGCUGAGAUCGCACCAUUGCACUCCAGCCUGGGCAACCACAGUGAAACUCCCUCUCAAAAAAAACAAAACAAAACAAAACAAAAAACAAAAUUGCAUCCAUUUAUUAUCAAGGGAGCAAUUAUAGCAGAACUUCACUAUGAAUGACUGUUUCUCUAGAUGUUUGUUUCCCGUCUCCAUCACUUUGAAUCAAAUGCCUUUUGGAUUCACGUAGCAAGCAAUUUCUGUUCUCUGCCGCUGAGACCUGACUGGGAUGCUUACUAAACCAGAACCACUCAGGGAGGUUCUGGACAUUUGCCUUUUUAACAAGUUUGACAUUUAUUGAUAAAGUUUAUUUGCAGUAACUACAGGGUAAGUUACUUCAGGUGGACAGCUGUGAAGGACACUUCAUCCCGACCAUGGGGAAGCUCAGUGACCCACUCCUGCCCUACAACAGACAGCACCUUGCUAGUGACCCAUUAUCUGAUUACAGAAUGUGGGCAUGAACUUGGAACUGGGUGAACUGGGAAUUGGAUGGCAGCCAGGCCCUGGAGUGGGAAUGCCUAGAUUCAAAUCCUGUCUCCACCACUCACUAGCUAUGUGGCUUUCUAUAAGUCACUUUACUUUACUGUGCCUACGUUUCCUAAUUUGUAACAUGAGGAGAAUAAUGGUAUCUACCUUAUAUUGUUGUUUUGAGGAUUGAGUUCAUACACAUGAAGAGCUUAGAUGAGCUAUCUGGGGCCAGGCACGAUGACUCACACCUGUAAUCCCAGCACUUUGGGAGGCCAAAGCAGGCAGAUCACCUGAGGUCAGGAAUUCGAGAGCAGCCUGGCCAACAUGGUGAACCCGUCUCUACUAAAAAUAUAAAAUUAGCCAGGCAUGGUGGCAGGUGUCUAUAGUCCCAGCUACUCAGGAGGCUGAGGCAGGAAAAUCACUUGAACCUGAGAGGCAGAGGUUGCAGUGAGCUGAGAUCGUGCCACUGCACUCCAGCCUAGGUGACAAGAGCAAAACUCUGUUCCAAAAAAGAAAAAAAAAAAAAGCAACAAAACACUUCACCUUUCGGUGUAUGAAAUAUUCUCUUCCCUGCCAACACACACACAAUCUCAUUUGAGCCUCAAAAUAAUUCUUAGGUGAGGCAAGGAAGGCCCAGAGAGGUUAAGUGACUUUCCCAAGGUCACACAGUAUGUCACUAGCAAAUGCAAAACUGUAACGGGGGCCAAGGACUUGAACUUAUUUUUCCUGUAUUCCAGGGGCAGGGACAAGAUCUCCUCAGCAUCUGGCCCCAAGGAGGUCAAACAUAGCUCUGCAUCCUGUGGGCCUUGAGUGGGAACUGAUUCAACCGUCACUUACGGCUGCAGAAACAGCGUGUGCCAGAACGGUGUGACUGUAUUAACAUCUUGCCCCACAAUUUCCUUCCAAUGUUCUUCCCAGAAAUUGCUCUAAAACUCCAGGUCCCCAUGGAAACCUCAGGAGAGAUUGCCUAUUGACUCUAAGUGAAGUUCUGCUAUGAGUGCUCCCUUGAUAAUAAAUGGAUGCAAUUUUGUUUUUUGUUUUGUUUUGUUUUGUUUUUUUUGAGAGGGAGUUUCGCUCUGGUUGCCCAGGCUGGAGUGCAAUGGUGCGAUCUCCACCUCCCGGGUUCAAGCAAUUCUCCUGCCUCAGCCUCCCGAGUAGCUGGGAUUACAGGCAUGCGCCACUAUGCCUGGCUAUUUUUUUUUUUGUAUUUUUAGUAAAGACGGGGUUUCUCCAUGUUGGUCGGGCUGGUCUCAAAUGCCUGACCUCAGGUGAUCCGCCCGCCUAGGCCUCCCAAAGUGUUGGGAUUACAGGCAUGAGCCACCGUGCCCAGCCUUUUAAAAUUUUAUUUUUGUGUGUGGAGACCGAGUCUUGCUGUCACCCAGACUCCAUCUUAAUUUAAAAAAAAGGAAAACAGACUUUUAAACAAAUAAGUGUGCAAGAUCAUUUCAGUUAGUGAUAACUGCUAUGAAGAAAAAAGGGUACUGUCAUGUUGACUGGGGCAGUCAGCUCUAGAUACGUCACCAGGGAAGAAUUACCAGACUCGGAGCUCAGACCUCAAUGUCAGGCAGUGUCAGCCAACAGAAGAUAAGGGAGAAAAAAAGGGUCAGAUCAGGGUAAACAGAAUGUGAGGUCCCUGAGGAAGGAAUGAGCUUGUCCUGCUCACCAAAAGAAACCUAACGGGGGAAGCAGGACAGGGAAUGGGCCAGCAGUAGCAGAGCUGAAAUCACAGAGACAGCCGUAAUCCAGACCACACAGGGCCUGAGAGCCAGGGUAGAACAGUAUAUUUAGCUUAAGGACAUGCUGAGGCCAUUGCAAAGUGGUGGUGGUUUGUUGUUGUUUGAAAACGGGAAUGAGAUAGUCUGGUUUUUAACAGAUCACUCUGUAUGAAGGAGACAUGAAGCAGAAAGAAAAAAUAAAGAUCACUUUGGCUGCUUUGUGAAGAAAACACUGCAAAGUGGGAAGAGGUCAAGGAAAAAAAGCAAAGAGUUAUUGGAGUGGUGCCUGAGGCUUCCCCAUGACCUGGAUGAAAUAUCCCUGAAAGUUAUCCAGCUUUCUUUCCUCUCUGUCAAUGCUGAAGAAGGGCUGCAUGAACCAAGGGAUGGAUCGAGUCAAAGGGAGCGUCCUACAGAGUGAGAACUGAGGAGUGUUUGCCCUGCUUCAGAGACAGUGGCCCUGGAGGACAGACAGGUUUUGAUGUCAUGAGAGGUCUCCUUGGAGGGGCAGAAAUGGGUAAUUCGUUCUUCAAAAUGGAAGAAUCAGCUGACAA